rnacentral:rRNA from 1 species
UACGGAGGGUUCAAACGUUGUUCGGAAUUACUGGGCGUAAAGGGCGCGUAGGCGGCCGCCUAAGUCAGACGUGAAAUCCCUCGGCUCAACCGGGGAACUGCGUCUGAUACUGGGUGGCUUGAAUCCGGGAGAGGGAUGCGGAAUUCCAAGUGUAGCGGUGAAAUGCGUAGAUAUCUGGAGGAACACCGGUGGCGAAGGCGGCAUCCUGGACCGGCAUUGACGCUGAGGCGCGAAAGCCAGGGGAGCAAACGGG